AGAGUUUGAUCAUGGCUCGAGGACGAACGCUGGCGGCGUGCUUCAUACAUGCAAGUCGAACGAGAAUCUAGCUUCGGUUAGAGGAAAGUGGCGGACGGGUGAGUAAUGUGUAGAGAAUCUGCCCUGGAGAGGGGGACAACAGAGGGAAACUCCUGCUAAUACCCCAUAUGCGCGUAGUUGAGAUACUAUUCGUGAAAGAUUUAUCGCUCCAGGAUGAGUCUGCAUCUGAUUAGCUAGUUGGGGGUGUAAUGGACCACCAAGGCGACGAUCAGUAGCUGGUUUGAGAGGAUGAUCAGCCACAAUGGGACUGAGACACGGCCCAUACUCC
rnacentral:rRNA from 1 species